AAGAAGUUCUUCACUUGUUGUUGUUAAUUAUUGGCAAACAAUAAAUGCAUUUAUUUAAGUUUUUCUUUUUUUUUUUUGAAUGACAUUAAUCUUAAUUAGGUUUCUGAGUGUUCAACUCUGUAGCAAAUGAAAACAACACGUUAUAAAUUGCAUGCAUCCGGGGCACGUUUCUGGAUUUAUAUUCAACAGCAUCCGGGGCUCUAGAUCCGGG
rnacentral:lncRNA from 1 species